rnacentral:rRNA from 1 species
UACGAAGGGGGCUAGCGUUGCUCGGAAUCACUGGGCGUAAAGCGCACGUAGGCGGCUUGCUAAGUCAGGGGUGAAAUCCUGGAGCUCAACUCCAGAACUGCCUUUGAUACUGGCGACCUUGAGUCCGGGAGAGGUGAGUGGAACUGCGAGUGUAGAGGUGAAAUUCGUAGAUAUUCGCAAGAACACCAGUGGCGAAGGCGGCUCACUGGCCCGGUACUGACGCUGAGGUGCGAAAGCGUGGGGAGCAAACAGG